rnacentral:lncRNA from 1 species
CUUGCUCGGCGAUUACAAACUUGGAGCAUUUCAAGUGGACACAAAUUUCGGGCCAUGCUGUUCCAGUGACUACCUCCAACACCUGUAAGACAGGCAUUAUGGUAAUGAUUCCUGCCCUUGCUGUCACUUGUACUCAUUCACAUGGUUUCUCACGCAGCAGGCGAAUCCUGUUACCUCUGACCUGCAGGUGGGAAACGCACCAUGGCCCGGUCCCAGCAUCCCUCCUCCAGCCUUUCCACUGCUGGGAUCAGAUCACUUUCGAGCUGAACAUCGCACAGCGACAGGGUGACCCCCGUUGGUGUAAGGAAAUGGAGCAAUUCAUGAGUAAUGGACCGUUUCCUGACAUGCAUAUGCUGCAGCCCAUCUUUUGUUCUCGGAUCUUCAGGGACUAUCUCUUAUCAUAGGUCUCUCCCCCUAUGGAGAAAUGCUUGGAGAUUGCUUUAGGUAACACAGCAGUGGGUAACUGUCAAAGCCAGCUUAAAUUAAGGGAUCUUUUCAGCAGUUCUGAGUAUGCCAUUCGUAGACAACUGCAGGGGUAAAUGAUUUAACUCACCUUCGAAGAGCUUUAGGCUUAGAAAUGCUUGGGUUUCAGGCCUAUCUCACAAAUAGGGACCACCACCUUGUUGUCAUGAGCACCUGACACUCCCAUUGGAAACCACGGGGCUCCGUUUUAUGAUCUUUGCAGGAAAUACCACUUUGAGGGCUGAAUUCAUGACCGAACAGAGAAGGCCAAACCCUUGCUGUUGCCCUGUGCAUCAGGGGAUGUCCACCUCUUCUACACAAACAGAUGGCACUGGAACAACGGGUCUCUUCUCUGUGCACGAGGCUUUGUGGAUGCUCAGUUCACAGCGAGCAUAAGGCAAAGUAAAACCAGACUGAAAACUUUCAUUACCCAGCGAUGCAAGUCACAACGGCAGGGUUAAAUCUGUUUCUAUUUAGACGAUAUCUGGAACAGCGUUUUAUUAUACAGCCUGUAAAGCACUGCCUGUGCAUGGGUGGAAAGUACAUUGUCUCCUUAAAUAAAGAACUGGGGCCGGAUUGUUUGGCACUUUCUUUUUUUCUUCUUGUUUUUGCUUUAACCAUAAACACAAAGUAACCAUUUCUCCAUAACAUUGAACUCUUUGUGGCCUUCCUAGAAACAAUAAAAGCACCCAAAAAUAAACAACUACUUAGAAUAAAUAUUAACUCGGGGACCUUUAAAACAUGAAGAAAGCUGUCUCCGCAAUAUCGUCUCUUCCCUGAUAAUGCAAAAGCCAC